rnacentral:rRNA from 1 species
CAGCGCAUGGCGGCAGGCUUACACAUGCAAGCCGAGCGCCCCGCAAGGGGAGCGGCAGACGGGUGAGUAACGCGUGGGAAUCUACCUUUUGCUACGGAAUAACGCAUGGAAACGUGUGCUAAUACCGUAUGUGCCCUUUGGGGGAAAGAUUUAUCGGCAAAGGAUGAGCCCGCGUUGGAUUAGCUAGUUGGUGGGGUAAAGGCCUACCAAGGCGACGAUCCAUAGCUGGUCUGAGAGGAUGAUCAGCCACAUUGGGACUGAGACACGGCCCAAACUCCUACGGGAGGCAGCAGUGGGGAAUAUUGGACAAUGGGCGCAAGCCUGAUCCAGCCAUGCCGCGUGAGUGAUGAAGGCCUUAGGGUUGUAAAGCUCUUUCACCGGUGAAGAUAAUGACGGUAACCGGAGAAGAAGCCCCGGCUAACUUCGUGCCAGCAGCCGCGGUAAUACGAAGGGGGCUAGCGUUGUUCGGAUUUACUGGGCGUAAAGCGCACGUAGGCGGAUCGAUCAGUCA